rnacentral:sRNA from 1 species
ACGUACCGGAAGUACGUUCCGGUUCCUGCGCUCCGUCCGCCUAGCCUGGCGGCGGCUCGCAACGAAGCCUCUCAGCC